rfam:Salmo salar isolate Sally breed double haploid chromosome ssa22, whole genome shotgun sequence.
UGGCUCAGUUGGUAGAGCGUGACACUUGCAAUGCCAGGGUUGUGGGUUCGAUUCCCAC